CAAGGAUAUAUCUUUUCCCCUUUCCUCUGAAUCCAUGACUUUCUAAGGGACUGAUCUUUCUCUUUAAGGAUCUGAUCUGAGAGAAAGCUGGGCUUUCAAAUAGAUUUGAUCACUUUUGAAUGAAACUCCAGUAGGGUCUUAAAGUUCAAGAACCACAGGACUGCACAAACUUUUCUAUUUUAUAGCUGUAUUUCCUGUGCUGGCUACUCAACAAAAUUCCAGAAUGGGGCUGCAUGAUUUAUCUAUGUGUUUGGGGCUCUUCCAGAUCCCAAUGUUUCUUGCCUUAUCACACCAUCACUUGAAGCUUGUCUGGUUUCUCCUAUUUUCUGAACAUGCUCUCUGUCAAUGGCAGACCUCAUUUCUCCACCCACUUUCAUGACAAAUAUGAAGACAUGGUCCUUGUCUUCACACAUGGAAACCACCAUUAUGUUCUACUCACCUAUUACUCUCUAGAAUAAAGUUUAUCAAGACUUCCUUUCAUAUACUGCUCUUUGAUAGUUUCAUAAGUUUGUUUUUUCUUUGGUACCCUUAGAGUUACACACUAAGUAGAAAGGAAAAUAACCUUUCCCUUUCCCCAUUCUAAAGUGUUAUCUUCCAUUGUUCAUGCACUCUGUGUUGAAAUGACAGGAAGGUCUAUGACCUUGGAUACCCUGACAACCCUCCCCCUCCACCUCUCUAUCACCCAGGAAAGCCCCACUCCCCCCCUUCUUGAAGAGGCUGUUCUCUUGGUGGCAGAGCCUGUGAACUGGGCUCCGGAGGAUGGUCAACUUCUGGGUGACUCAGAGCAGCCCAUGUACAAUUUUAGCCACUUCCCCUUGACACCCGCAGACACAUUCACAGACAUUUGUAAUUCCCUCUUUUGUGAUUGAGUUAGUUGUUAAAUGCCCUGUGGGGGUUUUCUAUUUAAAGGAAGCUUGUAGUUAAUCCUUUUAUUAUAUAAAUGAUGAGAAUACCAAGCCUCCCCCAACUCCUUCCCACCCAUCUCUGCUCCAGAUGUGUAUAACAGGAAGACCUUGGACACCGGUCAGGAGGACCUGAAGUCAAACUGUCUUCCAACCACUUGGUACAUGUGUGACCUGACCUUGGUUUGCCUCAAUUUCAUCAUUUAUUCAGAUUGUUCUUAUUUCUUUCAGUGUUUUUUUUCCCAUCCCAUAUGCUCUGGUUAAAUUCUACUCCUCCUUCUGCUCUCAACAGAAGUGUCACCUUCACAGAGAAGGUCCCUCUGGCCCCUUGACCAGGGCAAAUAGGUCUCCUUUACAUCCUCAGAAUCCUAGUACCUUUUCUUUGUAGCAUCUGACACAGUAAUAACUUUAUUCACGUGAAUAAAUUCAUUUGGUUUAGCUUCUUCUUUUAGUCCAGAAUAUGAGCCCUUCCUUACAUGACAGGGGUCAUGGGCAUGAUCCCAGUGCCCAGUCCUUGAAAUAGAUUAGGUGUUUAUCAACCUGACUAACAAAGUUUACCUCUGUGGGGUUGUUGUGAGGGCUAAAUGAGCUCAUGUGAGGACGUUUGCGUUUGGGCUUCCCCCCGAAAUAAGAAUUCAGGCACAAGGAGUUUAUUUGAUUGUUGAUCCAAGUCGGAGGUGAAGGAAUGAAAGAGUGUGUAACAGAGGAAGUAAAAGUGAUAAUGGGUGAGUUUGUGGGUGAGUUCCACUGUGGGUAAUUUAGCUCCUACUGGAGGUUCUCUGAGAAACUGUGUAGAACGUACUUUGGAAUUUUUCAGUUCAGAGGUGAUGUCACUGGGCUAUUUAUUGACCCCACACCUGUGUCCCACUGAAGCUCUCUCCUGGAGCAUUACCUAUAAGGCACUCACCCUCUGGCCUCUAGAGAGCAACCUCGGGCAGAAAGACAUAGGAAGCCAGAAGUUUGUGUAAGGGAAGUGAAUGGAGUGGGUCUCCAGGAUGCGUGGGCACCUUACCUGACUACUGUGAAGGGAGAGCUCUUGUGAGAGCUGACACACACAAAAGCUGUGUCCAUGAACGCCACCGUCCUCCAGGUUGUACUCAGCCACGUUCCUCCCGAUGUAUAGUUUACGGAGCUUAUGCCAGGGCCUCAGAGCAUGCCUGCUUUUCCCACUGACCAUAGAAAUCAGGAGCUGUGGACAGGCUUGCCCUAGGUCCAGGCCCUAUUCUACCCUGGGGAGCUCACUUCUCAGAAUGACCUUGGGGACGGUUGGGGAGCAUAAGCAGGCUGGC
rnacentral:lncRNA from 1 species